GAAAUGCGAUAAGUAAUGUGAAUUGCAGAAUUCAGUGAAUCAUCGAAUCUUUGAACGCACCUUGCGCCCUUUGGCUAUUCCGAAGGGCAUGCCUGUUUGAGUAUCAUGAACACCUCAACUCUCAUGGCUUGCCAUGAUGAGCUUGGACUUUGGGGGUCUUGCUGGCCUGCGGUCGGCUCCUCUCAAAUGAAUCAGCUUUCCAGUGUUUGGUGGCAUCACGGGUGUGAUAAAUAUCUACGCUUGUGGUUUCCUGCCAGGUAACCUUCAGUGAUGGAGGUUCACUGGGGCUCAUAAAUGUCUCUCCUCAGCGAAGACAGCUUUGUAAAUGUUUGAUCUCAAAUCAGGUAGGACUACCCGCUGAACUUAAGCAUAUCAAUAAGCGGAGGAAAAGAAACUAACAAGGAUUCCCCUAGUAACUGCGAGUGAAGCGGGAAGAGCUCAAAUUUAAAAUCUGGCGUGCCUCUGGUCGUCCGAGUUGUAGUCUGGAGAAGUGUUUUCCGUGUUGGACCGUGUAUAAGUCUCUUGGAACAGGGCGUCAUAGAGGGUGAGAAUCCCGUCUUUGACACGGACUACCAAUGCUUUGUGAUGCGCUCUCAAAGAGUCGAGUUGUUUGGGAAUGCAGCUCAAAAUGGGUGGUAAAUUCCAUCUAAAGCUAAAUAUAGGCGAGAGACCGAUAGCGAACAAGUACCGUGAGGGAAAGAUGAAAAGCACUUUGGAAAGAGAGUUAAACAGUACGUGAAAUUGCUGAAAGGGAAACGCUUGAAGUCAGUCACGUCUGCCAGGACUCAGCCUUGCUUCUGCUUGGUGUACUUUCUGGUUUGAUGGGCCAACAUCAAUUUUGACCGUUGGAGAAAGGCUUUGGGAAUGUGGCACCUUAGGGUGUGUUAUAGCCCAUUGUUGUAUACAACGGUUGGGAUUGAGGACUGCAGCACGCCUUUAUGGCCGGGGCUCGCCCACGUUCGUGCUUAGGAUGUUGGCAU
rnacentral:rRNA from 1 species